UACGAAGGGGGGCUAGCGUUGCUCGGAAUCACUGGGCGUAAAGCGCACGUAGGCGGAUUGCUAAGUCAGGGGUGAAAUCCUGGAGCUCAACUCCAGAACUGCCUUUGAUACUGGCGAUCUCGAGUCCGGGAGAGGUGAGUGGAACUGCGAGUGUAGAGGUGAAAUUCGUAGAUAUUCGCAAGAACACCAGUGGCGAAGGCGGGUCGUCUGGACAGUUCCUGACACUGAGGCACGAAGGCCAGGGGAGCAAACGGG
rnacentral:rRNA from 1 species